rnacentral:rRNA from 1 species
CUCUCUUUGUAUAUCAUAAAUAAAGAGUUGGGCCUGCUCGGUGAACAAUUGUUUUAACAGCUGCGGUAUUUUAACUGUACUAAGGUAGCAUAAUAAUUUGCCUUAUAAUUUGAGGCUAGAAUGAAUGGUUUGACGAAGGUUAAUCUGUCUCUACUUUAUUUUUUAGAAUUUAAUUUUUAAAGUGAAAAAGCUUGAAUAUUUUAAAGGGACGAGAAGACCCUAUUGAGCUUAUAAUUUUAUUGUUAUAUCAUUGUAAAUACAAUUGAGAAGCAUAUAAAUUUUAAUUGGGGUGAUUAAGGAAUAAUUUUUUGAAUAGUAACUUCCUUAUAUAUAAUUUUGUUAGGUAAAGUAACCAAUAUAGUAUUGCUUAUAAUAUAGUUACCAUAGGGAUAACAGCGUAAUUUGUUUAGAGAGUUCUUAUUGAAAAACAAGAUUGCGACCUCGAUGUUGGAUUAAAGUAACCUUAAGGUGCAGAAGCUUUAAUAGGUAAAUCUGUUCGAUUUUUAAAACUUUACG